ACUCUUUCUAUAUUGACUGUUAGUUUCUGGUCAUUCUCGAAACAAACACUACAUUGACUGUUAGAUUUCUCAUUUCAACCAAAGUAAGUAAUAAAUUCUGAACCUUUAGAAAUAUCAAUUUUAGAACACACACUUGAUGUAUCAUUAAGAGACAAUGAACCAGGCCUCUUUAGAAGAGAUUGAUUGCAGCUCCAAAUACAUUUUCAUCAAAAUAUUAUUUAAGAGAAUUUGUCGGCGAUUGCCAAUAGAUGGUCACUUAGUAGUUGAGGUUUGCAAAACAAUGGCAAAUGAUCCGUCCCUUCCAUCUCUAUCACUAAAUUCGGCGGAUAGUUAUCGAUCAUCCAUCGUUGAUAUUCUUCCGAGAUGGUGUGGUCAUCUUUGCUCACAAUGUAAGCUCGAGGAACAGAUCCAUACCCUUUUUCAGAAAAGUUCUUCAUCCUCGAUAAAUCAUUAAGAAAUAAUGAACCAGGCCUCUUUAGAAGCAAUCUAAGCUCAAGAUCCUAAAUCAAGAUUAACAUAUUCAUGAGUACUAUAUAUAUGUCAUCAUCAUAAUGAUGAUUACUUCCUUUUUUUUUGUUAUAAUGAUGAUUAUAUAUAAAUUACUUCAAUAGGAGAAAGUUGGAGGAUACGGUGCUUCGUGAACUCAGCGCUGAAGACCACAUACGGCUCGAGCUCAGAGCCCAUCCAAUCUUCUGGUGUCAUGGUGCUUGCAAACUUUUACAUUAGGAAAAGAAAAACACAUUCAUACUUAUUUUCCAAGCUCAAUACAGUUAAAUAUACAAGUAGAUAACCAUACGGUAGUAAUCUCCCUAGUGACAACCAUGAAUAUGAAACAUGUCCGAAACACUACAAUUUAAUCUCUAAGAACAAAGUUGAAUCUUAGGAUGAUAUGGUGGUAAAACUCUAAUUACCACUAAAGUGACACUACUUUGACUUUACUAAUUUAGAUGUAACCAAAACUCGUUGUAUACACCACCACAGACGGACUAAUUUAGAUUAUCUAACACAUGACCUAUGAUAAUAGCAUAUACACCACAAAUAUUAAAGGCUACAAAAUAAAAUCUCGAUUUAAUGGAACGAUUGGACUGACUAAUCGGACGUAUAGACCAAAAGGAAUUGUUAUGUUGAUCAAUUUUUGAACAAAAUUUGGUCGCUUAAAAACGAGGUAUACCUUUUCCAGGACGAACGAUGGUGAGUUUUUGGUGUCGGGCAUGAAAGAAGUUACGAAGACAGAGACAGAGAUUUUGUCGGGAAACUUAUCCAUGGCUAUGGCUAAAGUCAAACCUCCAUAGCUAUGACCCACGAGCACAACCUUCUCAUCAUUCGGCAAUGAAGUCAUUAGCUGAAUCAACGGCUCAGAAUAUUGUUCGCAUGUGGAAAUGUCAGUGAUCGACCUUGUGUCUAUACCACAAGCAGCUAGGUCUAAGGCGGUUACACGAUGGCCCGAAGCCUCGAGCAGCGGCUUCACCUUGUACCAGCACCACGCGCCGAGGCACGAACCAUGUACUAGCACGAAAUGUUGCUUCAUCAUCUCCUCACUCUUCACACAUCCACAUAUAAGUAAAGAGAUUAUAAAGCUUAUCCCGUUUUCAUACAUUUUUCUUACUCUUCUGAUUUAGAUUAUCAAACACGUAUCCAAACAAUUAAGCCACGUGGUCAUUGUCCGACUCUACAAUCUCUCUCCGUUUCUUCUCUCAUUCCUUUAUAACAAAAAAGACAGAGCACAAUGACUAGAUUUACGGUAGUAACACGUAAAAUAGUAUUAUUUACAUUUAAGUUUAUCUUUAUUGAGGAAAUUAGGUUCAGUCUUUUUCUUAUAUAUAUCGGUGUAUUAUGUGAUAUUAAUUAUACGAGAGUCUAUUAUAAUAUUUUUCAAACACUUUGUGUUUCAUACUAUUAUCAAUUUAUCAUAUUCCCUUUUCUUAUUUUUUUCCUACUCUUCAUCAUCCACACAUAACACAUAAAUGUUUACAUUGAGUAAAUUAGGUUUAGUCUUUUUCUUUAUAUAUAUCGAUGUAUUAUGUGACAUUAAUCUUACGAGAGUCUAUUAUAAUUCUUCCUAAACACUUUUGUAUUUUUUACUCUUAUCAAUCUAUCAUAUUCCUUUCUCUUACUUUUUUCUACUCUUCAUCAACUACAUAUAUCUUCUUAUAUAAUAAGAGAAGGUUUUUUCUAACUUUGCCUACCAAUACGACAUUUGGCACUCUAUUUUGAUGACAUGUGUACUUAUCAUUAAUUGUAGUUUGACUAAAAUAAUUUAUUAAUAAAUAUAACAUUUAUUUAGAAAAUAGUCAUUAAACUAUAAAAAUACUACAUAUUAAACUACAAUUUUGAAAUGAUUUUUUUUCUAUCAUAAUUGCAACUCUCUUAACUAAUUACAAAAUCAAAUCUUUUAAAUUUUGACAUGAUAUUAUGUUUUAGACUGCACAUUAAUAGUUCACAACUACAAAUAAUUCUCCAAUUUUAUAAGAUUUUUUUCCAUUUUUAGUUCUUUUAAACAAUAAUUAAUUAAAAUAAUUUUGUUUCGAUCUUAUAUGAUUAAUUUUUUUUAAAAGCUGUUAAAAUUUGAUAUCUUACAUUUGCUCAUAUUUUAACAGUUUUUCUUUUUAUAUGUUAUUUAUGCAUGUAUAUAUUAAUAAACAUAUCAUAUCUUAUUUUUACAAAAUAAAUGUAUGAUAAAGUAAAUUAAAAAAUAAUUUGUUGAUAUAAACUCAUACAUAAUAGUUCCAAAACAUUUUAUUUUGUAAGUGAUUUAUUCAAAACAAUGAUAAAAGAAUAGUAAUUAUAGUAUAUAUUUUAUGAUGUAUCACUUAUCAAUAUUUAAAUACUACAUAUGCUUUUAAAAAUAUGAUUUAAUAAAAAAUAAAUGAGUAGAUGUAAAGCUCACCUGAUUAAAAAAGACUCAAAUGACCAUAGUUUUGAUAACGGUUAAAAACAACGAGAGAAAGAAAAUUAGGAUUAAACACCAUGCAGUUAAACCUCAUUAAGGUCAUUAGUGGCUCAAUGAGAUUGAAUACUCAGUGUCUCAUGUAAUGUUUUAAAAAAAAAGAAAUUAUUAGUUUGUUACUCAUGUAACGUUCAUGUUAUAAACGUUCUUCUAUAAUUAUUAACCUUUAUUAGUUAUACCCUAACAAUCUACUUUUCUAAUAUAAAUAGCAAAUAUUUACACAGACACAACACACACAUAUUUACAAGUGCUUUUGUUUCCUUUGACAAUUGAAGUUAUUCAAUUACUGAAAGAAAAAUGAAAGAUGGUUUGCUGUAUCACCAACAUUUACGGUAUCACCAACGUUUACGGCAAGAGUCCUAACCUUAUCAAUUUGUCUCUUUCAUUUAACGUUUGGACUCAUAUUACCUUUCAGUUUUUUUUUAUCUUUUUCUUUUAGUUUUUGUGAAUGAUUUCAUAUUGUUUAAUGUUUCUAAAAUGGUUAUAUUGAGUCUUACUUACAUGUUUUUGUUUUGUUCUAAAUGUAAAUCGAGAAAUUUUUUUUUUUUUUUUUUUUUGGAAGUAGACAUCAAAUGCACUUUAAACCAUAAAUGAAUAUGAAAGAGGAAGCAAAACAGGCAAGAGUCUCAACCUUAUCAAUUUGUCUCCUUCAUUUAAAGUUUGGAUUCAUAAUAGCUUUCAGAUUUUGUUUUUCUUUGUAAGUUUUUGUAAAUGAUUUUACAUUGUUUAAAGUUUCUAAAUUAGUUAUAUUGAGUCUUACUUAUAUAUUUUUGUUAGUUUUUUUUUUGUAGGCAUCAAAUGCACUUUAAACCAUUUAAAUGGAUAUGAAAGAAAAAGUUAGCAUACUAUGGAUAGUAGAGUCAAUUACAAGAGAAAGAAAGAAUCAAAGUUUUGAUCAUUCAUAAAAUACAAAAAUUCAGGCAAGUGUUUUAGUUAGUCUCAAAAAAUGAUGGAGCGAUAAUAACAGGUAUGACCACAAUAAUUAUAUAACUAUUUAUUUGUCUUUCCAAAUUAAAUAUUUUGAAUUAAUUUUUGCUAUAAAUAGUUACCAAAUUUUGUUGACUUAUAUGCUCUCUAAAACAAAACUUAAAUUGUUUUCUGAUUUUUAAUAUAAUGAAGCUCAAUUCUUAGUUUCUGAAGAAAACAUGAUCAACAUUAGUUCACUCAUACAAAUUACAAAAAUCUAUGUCUAUAAUACACAUUAGAAAAUUAUAUUGAAGCAAAAAAAAAAUAGAUUCUUUUAUAGGAGUGACAUAUUGAAAUGAUUUAAGAUUUAUCUUCUCCAAGUUUAUAUUUUCUUAAAUUGUUUUAAAAAUUUAUUUAAACAAAAAAAAAUAACAGUGUAAGGUUCAUAAUCUAAAAUUAAAAUUUAGAAUUUAGCUUUUACAAUAAUAUUUUUUAAACUCAUAACAACAACAAAGAAAAAACUUAAAACAAAACAAAACAAUAUUUGAGAUACUGUGAAAGGGGAUUAGGAAAUGAGAGAAUGAAAAUAAAUUGUGGGAGUUAAUUUUUAAUUUAUUGUGUGUUGAAAAAAAUGGUGUGGAGAAAUAUAAUUAAUUUAUAUAUAUUUAUGAUUUCAGUUUUGUAAAUAAAUUGUGGGAGUUAAUUUUUAAUUUAUUGUGUGUUGAAUAAAAUGGUGUGGAGAAAUAUAAUUAAUUUAUAUAUAUUUAUGAUUUCAGUUUUGUAAAUAAAUUGUGGGAGUUAAUUUUUAAUUUAUUGUGUGUUGAAUAAAGUAGAGUGGAUGAAUAUAAUUGAUACAUAUUUUUAUGAUUUCAGUUUUAUAUUAAACUGUGUGUUAAAUAUGUUAUUUAUUAUUUAUUAAGAAUUAAAAAAAAAACUUAUAUUGCCAAGUGGACCAAUAAGGAAAGAGUGAAACCUUACUUUUAUAUAUACAUGAUUCCUAAUUUUUUGGUUUCAUUUUUAAAGGUUACCUAAAGUAUAGCUAUUAUUGUUGCCAUUACAUCACAUAUAAAUAAUAACAAUUGUUAUAUAAUCUUAAAUUAAUUAUAUAUAUAAAUUAUGGUUUCAAUUUAUCAAAGGUUAUAACAUUUAACUUAGAGACAUAUUUUUCCAUCAUUUGAAGUUAAAAAUAAAUAACUCUAUAUUUGUGCGAUAACAAUUGGUAAACAUCAAAAUUGAAAAUUUAAAUUAUUUUUGAGCCAUAUAUUAACAAUUUUUUAAUAAAUUAUAUAUAGAAAUUAACGUCUUUCAAUACAUUUAACAAAUUUUAUAUGACUUAUUUUUUUUGAACUGACAUCUGAGAUCUUUAGUCGAGUUGGAGGGUUUUUCAUUGAAAGUUAUCUUAAAUCAUAAGCUUUAAAUUUUUAAAUGUGUAAAAGGUUCAUCUAUUGUUUUGAAUUGCAAAACAAUUGGUAAUACAUGCAUUUGCAUUUUCACCAAAAAAAAAACUGAAUAAUUUAUGUUUAUUUUUUAAUAUAUAGUAAAACAUACUGUUUUCACAAAAAAAUAUAAAAACAAAUUGAAUGCAAACUUUUAAUCAACUAAAAUGUCUUUGUAAAAAACAUCAUAAUUUGUAAACAUAAAAGUUACUAUUAUUAAUUAUUUUGAUCGAUAUAUUAACAAUUAUAAAUAAGUUUUAUAUAUAAUUUAAUAUAAAUAUUAUUCUAUAUUCAAAACUAAAACCGUAUAUAAAAUCCACGCAUCGCGUGGACAACUUCUAGUAACAUAUAAAUAAAGAGAUUAUAAAGUUUAUCUCCUUUUCAUAUUUUUUUCCUACUCUUCAUCAUCUACACAUAACACAUAAAUAAAGAGAUUAUAAAGUUUAUCUCCUUUUCGUACUUUUUUUCCUACUCUUCAUCACAGAUCCACACAUAACACAUAAGUAAAGAGAUUAUAAAGCUUAUUCUUUUUCGUACUUUUUUCCCUAAUCUGCACACAUCCACACAUGACACAUAAAUAAAGAGAUUAUAAGUCUAAGACCAUGUACAUAGGUGAUAUAUUUAGAGUAUCAAGAGCAAUAAAUAAUUUUUUAAUAGAUUAAAUAAUACAUUUAGCUCUGAUCCAGUAUCAUUGCAGUGAUUCUUUGGAUACCCACUAUCAGGUGAUGUGGAGGCUCAUAAUUCGUCGAAAUUUCCUGAAAGCAAAAAAAAUAAAAAAAUAAAUCAUUCUACUUUUCGAUAGUCUUCUACUGUUUUAGCUAACUAAUUAUAUUUUUUGCGAAUGAGUAAUUUUGCAGGCUCUUCGUGAUUAUGCGACAUAAUUUUGCAGUAAUUUUGUAAUGUUAUGUUUUAUAUAUUUAUUUUUCGAUUUUGCAAAUAAUUUUUUUUUUAAUAAUACCAAUAUCGGUCUUACCGCUAGAAACAGAUUUAUUACCAGUAUCAUAAAAAAUCGCAGACAAUAAAUAAACAUUAAAAUUAAUACUAAAAAUUGAUAAUGAUACUCAUAGAGUAUCAACUAUGUGCAUGUUCUAUAGUCCCUUUCGGUACCUAUUUUCUAUUCUUCACACAUCCACCGAUCCACGCAUAACACAUAAGUAAAGAGAUUAUAAAGCUUAUUGUUGUAUCCGACUUUUAUGGUGAUACAACUUGUGUUAGAUAUCAGAAUCAUUCGUAGUAAAAUGAGUUUUUUUGUCUCGGUCAUGAGAGCUGUCAAGAAACCAAUAGCAGCAAUCUUACAAAGGAAUAUGUUAGUAGCGAGAACAGCGGAUAUUCCUCCCAUGCUAUGAGCAAUAAGAGUACCUUAUCGUUUAUCCGAGCAAAGAUGAAGAUGAAAUUAUUUCGGUAUUAUGUACUAGUCGUCGAAAUAGUACAAGAUAAGUGAUUCUGGAAGCUGAGAUGCAUAACUGAUGAUGAGGAGCUCGAAUACUUUGAUUUAAGAGCGUGUGUUAAGUCAAAAAAAAAAUAUUAUUGUCUGAAAACAAAAUGAAUCUUAUAAGCUAUAUGGAAGUUUGCACGAAGAGAAAAGAAAAUUGGCAAAAAGAAAACUUUUUUUCUUAUGGAAUGUGUUAAAUAUGUCUUAUGUGUGAUUGGAGUGUAAGUUUAUGUUUGUUAUAUAAGGGGGACGUGACCUUAUGAGAAUGUGGAUUUGAGGAGGAUAAAUAUCCCAAAGAGAUUCGACAUGAGAGAUUGUGUGUGAUAGUGUGUGACAUAGUUUCGGUGUUUGGUGCUUGUGUGAUUAAGCUGAUUUAUGUGUUGGUGUUGACGUAAGUAUUGGGGCGUUUUGGUGAUCGUUGGGUUUGUUGGUGUGAAGUUCGUGUGUGGCGGUUGCUCCAAGACAUGGAGAAGUGAAGUCUAGGCUCAUGGGGAAUUUAGCUCAAGGUGAGGUUAUCUUUAUGAAAUCUAGGUUUAGUACAGGUAGAGAUUUAUCAUUAAGGUUUCAUGUUAUUGAACGGAGCAGUGAAUCAAGAGGUUUGUUUGAUUUACGCAUUUGCGAAUAGGUUGUAUUUGCUUUCUUGUUCUAGUAAAAUCUGGAUAUGGUCCCGUGGACUAGAAAAAACCAGGCUUCGUGAACAAAUUUCUUGUCUCGUUUACUUUAUACUCUUUAUUAUUACAUCAUCCGCACUUACACAAAAGAGCUCAGAAACUUAAGCAAAGGUUAGCAGUAAUCUUUAAGAGUCUGAAUCUCUUCAACUCUAGUCAUAUUUAUACCUGAUGCAGCUAGAUCCACCGCGGUCACACAGUGACCUAUAGCCUCCAAAUGCAUCUUCACAUUGUACCAACACCACUCCCCGUGGCACAGCCCAUGUACGAGCACAAACCGUUCCUUGUUAUUUUUCUCCAUUGUUUUCUUUCUUCUUUGCUUUCAACAUCUUAGUUCAACGUAAAGUUAUAUAUCUCGAGGAUUACUUUCCCCCACACUCUUUGUAUAUUGACUGUUUCUAGUCCUUCUAAACAAACACUAGAUUGACUUAGGUUUCUCAUUUCAACCAUAGUAAGAACUAAGAAAUAAGUUUGAACCUUUAUGAAGAUCCAUUUUAGAACACGUUUGAUUGUAUCCACUCCAAAUACAUUUUCAUCAAAAUAUUAUUUAACAGAAAUUGUCAGCGAUUGCCAAUAGAUGGUCACUUAGUAGUUGAGGUUUGCAAAACAUUGGCAUAUGAUCAGUCUCUUCCAUCUCAAUCACUAAAUUCGCCGGAUAAUUAUGGAUCAUCCAUCGUUGAUGGUCUUCCGAGAUAAUGUUGUCCUCUUUGCACACAAUGUAAGCUCGAGGAACAGAUCCAUACCCUUUCUCAGAAAAGUUCUCCAUCUUCGAUAAUUCAUUAAUAAACAAUGAACUAGGCCUCUUUAGAAGCAAUCCAAGCUCAAGAUCCUAAAUAAAGAUAAUCAUCGAUUUAUCAUGAAAAUGAUUAGUCUUUUUUUGUUUUGUUAAAAAUGAUGAUAAAUUUAAAUUACCUCCACAGGAGAAAGUUGGUAGAGACGGUGCUUCAUGAAGUCGGUGCUGAAGAACACAGACAAGCCGGAAUUAUCUGAACCAUAUGUCUCGAGCUCAGAGCCCAUCCAUCCUUCUGGUGUCAUGCUGCUUGCAAACUUUUUC
rnacentral:lncRNA from 1 species